UACGUAGGGUGCGAGCGUUGUCCGGAAUUAUUGGGCGUAAAGAGCUCGUAGGCGGUGUGUCGCGUCGGCCGUGAAAACCUGCAGCUUAACUGUGGGCUUGCGGUCGAUACGGGCAUCACUGGAGUUCGGCAGGGGAGACUGGAAUUCCUGGUGUAGCGGUGAAAUGCGCAGAUAAUCAGGAGGAACACCGGUGGCGAAGGCGGGGUCUCUGGGUAGUAACUGACGCUGGAGGAACGAAAGCGUGGGUAGCGAACAGG
rnacentral:rRNA from 1 species